AUGCCACCACAAGAUCCGACGAAUCUGGAGUCCGAUGGCGAGAAUUGCACAUGCAACUCAGCCGGUGCAAACGUCGACGAGAGCCAUCCGUUCGCACAGAACAAUAACGUCACCGAAGAUCCACCAUCGAAACUUCCACGAUCCAACCGUCUCCCCUUCAAAUCCGGAGACAACCACAUCCGCCUUUACACAAUCAUCAUAAUUUCGCUCAGAUUCGUAAAGUCAUUCUCGGUGAUAAAGAUUAGAGUAGCUUGA